GAGAACCUUAAACCCGACAGGUUCCUCUUAAUUUCAGGUUUGAUUUUCAAUCAAACUCUAUUCCCGCCCAUCUCAUGCUCUAUCUCUCCGCCUCAUUUUUGACCAAUCAAACUUUCUCUUCCUCACUGUAAUCAAAUCCAAACUAAGACCACCUCUCUCCUUCUCUCUCGGCUGGUGACCUCUCAAAACGCAGCCUGAUCUUCGACUUUUUAUCCAAAUCGACACCCUAGGGAGCCAACUCGGUCACCAUGAAUCAUUUCCACAUAUACGAAGUAAUUGGCCGUGGCAAAUGCUCGGCUGUGUAUAAAGGGAGGAAGAAGAAGACCAUUGAGUAUUUCGCUAUUAAGAGCGUUGAUAAGUCGCAGAAGAGCAAGGUUCUACAAGAAGUUAGGAUUCUUCACUCCUUAGAUCAUCCAAAUGUAUUAAAAUUUUACUCCUGGUACGAAACUUCAUCUCACUUGUGGUUAGUUUUGGAAUAUUGUGUUGGUGGAGAUCUUAUGACCUUAUUGAGACAGGACAGUCAGCUACCUGAAGACUCCAUUCAUGAUCUUGCACGUGAUUUAGUUAGAGCUUUGCAGUUUCUACACUCAAAGGGAAUCAUUUACUGUGAUCUGAAACCAUCAAACAUUCUCUUAGAUGAGAAUGGACGCACAAAGCUAUGUGAUUUUGGAUUGGCAAGAAAAUUGAGUGAGAUAUCUAAAACUCCUUCAUCCAAGUUGCCCCAAGCAAAACGUGGAACACCCUGUUAUAUGGCUCCUGAACUAUUUGAGGAUGGAGGUGUCCAUUCCUAUGCAUCUGAUUUUUGGGCCCUAGGUUGUGUACUGUAUGAGUGCUAUGCAGGGAGGCCACCCUUUGUGGGUAGGGAGUUCACUCAGCUAGUGAAAUCUAUCCUAUCAGAUCCAACCCCACCCCUUCCUGGCAAUCCAAGCAAUCCUUUUGCCAACCUAAUCAAUUCUCUCUUGGUGAAAAAUCCAGCUGAAAGAAUACAAUGGUCUGAGCUUUGUGGACAUGCUUUCUGGAGAACUAAAUUCGCUCCAGUGUCCUUGCCUCCUCAACCUGCUUUUGAUAAUAUGAUAGAACUUCAUACUAAGCCAUGCCUCUCAGAACGUAAUGGAGAUGGAUCUUUACAAAACAAAACCCCUCCUAAACAUCGUGAAAAGGAUUUGAAAGGGACACCAAAACCUGAUGAUAAUUCAAUAUUAGGAUCCAAAGGUCAUGAGACCCCUGUAAAGGGUAUGCUGAGUGGCAGAAAAGUUCAAACAAAGGCCUCGGGCAGAGUGGUUGAAGAGAAGCUGAGAGAUCCUUCUAGUGCUAGUAGGGGUGUUAAUCUCUUAAGGCUGUCAAGAAUAGCAAAAUCAAACUUAAAGAGGGAGAAUGAAAAGGAAAACUACAGAAGACCCAUGCCUAAUAGCUCUGAAAAUGACGCUGAGGUUAAAAUUGAGAACACUGAUAUGGAACUUGAUUUCAAUGAGAACACCGAAGAUGAUGCACAUGAUGAACCUGAUGGAACUGAAAACCCUGGCAGUCUACCUGAAGAUGUGGACAAUAACAUACAUCAAUUGGAGACCUCACCUGUGGUUAACAUGCCUGCCUCAGAUGAAUUGAGAGCAAAUGAUCAAGAAUCAUCUUCGGAGCAUGUUGACAUGACCGCUACCCCACUCAGUGCCAGUCAUCAGGUCAAAACUCAGAGAGCUAAGGAAGGUCUAGGAGCCACUGAGUUUGAUUCUUCAAAAUCUUGCAAUAACCUUUCAGAGGUCCUUUGGCAUCCAUCUGAUCUUUCAGUCAGACCUGUGAUGCCCAGCAGAAAAGCUGAUAAAGAUUCAGAGCUAAUUCCUUCUCUUCCAUUUGAAGCACUGCAACCAUCUGAUUUUGGGAAAAUGUCUAAGGAGCAGCUGGAUGCACUCAACAAUAGAAUUAUAUCCAUUUUUAGCGGGAACACUAGCAUUGGGGAGAAGCAGAAUCUGAUUAGAUACCUUGAGAUGUUGAGCAGUAAUGCUGAUGCAGCCAAUAUCCUAACAAAUGGGCCAAUAAUGCUCAUGGUUGUCAAAAUGCUCCGACUGUCCAAGGCUGCAGCUUUGCGUGUUCAACUUGCUUCACUAAUUGGCAUAUUGAUUCGUCAUUCUACCUUUAUUGAAGAUGAUUUGGCUAAUUCUGGAAUUUUAGGGUCACUAACUAAUGGCCUCAGGGACAAGCAAGAAAAAGUGAGGAGAUUCUCCAUGGCUGCUUUAGGUGAAUUGUUGUUCUAUAUAUCCACCCAGAAUGAGCAGAGUAGAGAUAACAAUCCACCUGAAUCUCCAUCAAAGGAUAGUCGUUGCUCAUUUGGUUGGCAGGUUCCAAACUCAUUGAUUUCAUUGGUAUCGUCUGUCCUACGAAAAGGAGAAGAUGAUGUUACUCAACUUUAUGCAUUGAGGACAAUUGAAAACAUUUGCAGUCAAGGAGGACAUUGGGCAGCUCGCUUCACCAGCUCAGAUGUGAUCAGUAACCUGUGUUAUAUAUAUAGAGCAACAGGGAAACAGGAGAGCAUGAGGCUUACUGCAGGUUCAUGUUUGGUUCGUUUGGCUCGGUUCAAUCCUCCUACCAUCCAGUCAGUUAUUGAAAAACUUUCUUUCAAAGACACAGCAUCUGCCCUUGUUAAGGGCAGUCCCCGUGAGCAGCAAAUAUGUUUGAACCUCUUAAAUAUGGCCAUGCUUGGAAGCCAUUUGUUCACAAAUAUUGGGCGACACCUUUUACCCUUGGCAGAGGAUAAAUAUCUGGUUCCAAGUCUUUUAUCUCUUACUGAGCAAGGUAGCGAAAUUUUGAGGGGAAAGACACUUCUUUUCAUGGCUCUUCUUUGCAAGAAUGGUAGGAGAUGGCUACCGCACUUUUUCUGCAACCCAAGAUUACUUUCUGCAGUGGACAGGCUGACCAAAGAGAAGGACAACUAUUUGCAGCAAUGUUUAGAUGCAUUUGUGCGCAUUUUGGUAUCUUCUGUCCCAAGCUUACUGGAUGUUAUAACUGCAGAUAUUCAGCAUAUGAUGGGAGCAAGGCGCCAUGGGCAGAUAUCUGCCAUUAGCAGUCGUGUCACUCCAAAGACCAAUAUUCAUUCAUUUCCUGUUGUUCUUCAUCUACUUGGGAGCUCAUCUUUUAAGCAUAAGGUGGUGAAUCAUCAAGUACUGCAGCAAUUGGCAAAUUUGGUCAAGGUUCUGGAAACACCUUUCCAGGGAAGAGAUGACUUCCAGAUAACUCUUCUUCGAGUUCUGGAGUCCGUUGCAGAGGAAUCUUCUCUAAUUCUUGAAAGCCCCGAUAUCUUUAUUGGUGAAAUUCUCCCAAGUCUUGCCAUCCUGUAUAAGGGAAAUAAGGAUGGUGAUGCCAGAUUUUUAUGCCUGAAAAUCCUGUUUGAUGUCAUGGUCAUCUUCUUAAAUGAACCUUUUGAUGAUGUGCAAAGAUCCCAGGCUUUGAAGGCAAUAUCCAAUAUCCAUUUCCUACCUCUCUACCCGACAUUUAUUGUAGAUGAAGAUCCCAUCCCCAUGUAUGCACAGAAGCUUCUUGUGAUGCUUAUCGAGUUUGAUUACAUAAAAAUCUCAGACAUUUUACAUCUGAAGACAGUUUCACAGUGCUUUGAAUUUUUACUUGGUGAUUUGUCAAGUGCAAAUGUGAACAAUGUUAAGCUGUGUCUUGCUUUGGCAUCUGCUCCUGAAAUGGAUUCCAAGUUGCUUUCUCAGUUGAAAGUAGUUAGGAAGGUUGGAAACCUUUUGGAGUUUGUGUAUGCAAAAGAUAUGGAAGAUUUUCUUGAGCCAACUCUUGGCUUGUGUAGGGCUUUCCUUCUGUGCUCAGUGGGUAGAAAAAGAGGAUUAGCCUACGGACAAGAACCAGCACUCCUAAAUGAUGUUUCUUCUGAGGCAAGUAGUCUGAUUGAUCAGCAGCAAUGUAUAAGAGAUAUAAUGGAAUUUGGUGGCAAUUUAGGUGUCUUGCUUGACUUGAGUGGGUCCUCUGAAGCAAAUAUCGCAGGUAUAGCUUCUGAAUGCGUGGUAUUGUUGCUCAAGGCAGCUCCAAGGGAAGCUACAACUGGAUUUCUAACUAACCUUCCAAAGGUUAGUUCAAUCCUUGAGUCUUGGCGCAAGGGUGUGCCUCACUUGCUUUUGCGGCGGAUGCUGCACGCUCUUGCUUAUUCUUGUAGGCAGUAUUUGUCACAUGCAAUGAUAUUAUCAAUAUCAAAACCUGAGGUGUCAAGGGUUGAAGCCAUUGUUAUGGAGCUGAAAAAUUCAAGCACAACUGAUUUAGCCAAUGCUGCUUUGGAUGCCGCCUCAGAGUUGCACCGGCUGCCUCGUUGCAUUUGACGCCCUAGACGUUGGUUGGUUUGUAAACACUCCGAUUUUGUUUCAUAAAAUCUACAAUUUCUGAGAUUUAAUAGUUGCUUUUAUGCUUGCAGAUAUUAUGGAAAUUAGCUUAAGAAAGGGCUGAACUGAAAGACAGUUCCUGAAAUCUGGGUAAGGUUUCAAUGCCCCAUGUAUCAAGAUGAAUUCAAUUUUUUAUUCAUAAUAUAGUAAUAUGGUCCUCUUGUAGUCUUCUUUUUGUAUAAUCUUUGCAUGUUUUGUAUCAUCGUAAGAACUCAAUUAAAUGAUUUUUUUUCCCUUCAGAAUUUGCUUGAAACUCGAAAGUGAUUAGAUCAGAGUUGAUGCAUGUCUUACCAGCUUCUCUUCAGCAUAAAUUUGAGUGUGGAGAAGCCCUGAAUUCUUGAACAAAAUUCUACAAAUUAAUUUGGUUGAGUGUGAGCUAGUGGUCACGCGCACACACACCCCUCUCUUACAGAGCCUUCCUGAGCAAAAGGUUAAAAGCGAAAGCUUUUAAGUUCUAACAGAGCUUCCUUCUACCACCACCACUGAAAAGCAAGCUAUUCUUGCACUUUACCGGCAACAGAGCCAUUCGCAUGUUUGUAAUGGCAGACAUCGUGCUCCUCUUUCUAUCGCUCUAUGUUACGUUUGGUGUGGACGUGAAGUAGGGACAACGAUUUCGAAAAUGUGUGUGCAUUUCCUUUUAGGUCAGCGACUGAAGCGAUCCAGCCUCGAGAAAUGGCUUUUUCUACAGCCUUUGGAAAAAAUGCUACGUGGAUCUUUUAUUUUAUCUUAUUACAUUUGUUAAGUUCACUUUUAUUUAUUAUAUACUUUUAA
rnacentral:misc_RNA from 1 species